UUUUAGGCUGACUUGUCUUGGUGGAAUAAGACAAGUGUCAUCACAUCUAUUUUUGGGUCGUGACAAAAUGGUAUCAAAGCCCAGGUUCAUCGGUCUCAUGUGUAUACAAGUCGAGUCUAUGUAGAGUCUCGAAGAUCAGUACGGAGACGUCAGUACUUAUCUUCGAGAGACUGUAAUGAAUUUUAGGAACACAUUUCACUUCUUGAAUCUCUAUCGUGCGUACUUGAUCCGAUUUUGAUUCUUCUCGCCUUAUUUGGUUCAUUCUGAUUUAUAGUGAUGAUCUUGUGUAGUUCCUCAUUUGAGUAUUUGGUGUGUUGUAUUAGUCUUUGAUGUUAAAUUUGUUACAAAUGUGGAAUUGAUAUAUUUAUGGGAAGGAUGUGUAUCAAAUUUGGAAUGUUCAAUGACUCAACUAGAUUAAGUUAGGUGAUUACUUGAUGAAACAUUUCGAAGAUUAGGUUGAAUAGUGACUUAGCGGACUUCACGAGCGUCUUAUACUUUGUUUAGACUAGUAAUCUAGUAUCAAUACUUGUGUGGCAUAUGAAAUAUCUUGAGUGGUUUGACAAUUGAAAGUUAAAUGACUAAAAAAAAGGUUAGAUAAUGAAUGUGAUAACUUUAAAAGCUACAUUUAAUUAAAGUUUUAUAACAUAUAUGGGCUACUUAGUGAAUGAUGAGAGUGAUAUUACACUAAUCGAAGUUAGAAUCUAUAUUUUAGUUUCAUACAUUGAGGGAAUGUCAAAGAGAAUUCCAAAAUUACUACUAUAAACGUAUCGAUCAUCACUUGCUAAGAGUUAUGGACUGUGUAAUUCGUACUAUUGACCUGAUCUAUGAAUGAAUCACUUUAAGUGAGAGAUCGAAUGAAUUUAGUAGUGUAUUGCAACUACUUUAUGGUCAGAAAUGUGUGAGCUAUUGAGCAUAAUCUUCUCGAGGUGUAUGUUGAAUCCUAGUGGUGGAUUUAACAAAGUUUCACGAUGUGGUACUAGUGAUAUAUAAAAAUGGGUAUAACGAUUGUUAAGUACAAAUAAUAACUACUUAAGGAGUUAUCUAUUGUAUCACAUGCUCGUAUAAUAAUAUUUGGUGUUUCAUUUGUAUUUGAGAAACCAACUAGCUUGUUACUACAAAUGGAUGAGUUAAACAUUAUUUAUAAGAAAUAUCUUAGUGGUGGAAUAUUGGUAUGAUAUUGAUGUGUUCAUGUUGUGAAAUGUAUUUUGUGAAUUUUAAAUGAGAGUUGAUUUCAUCGUAAGCUCCAUGGAAGUGGACCGACAUUAGGACGAGCUUAUAAGUAAAGUAAGUCUCAAUAAGAAUACUAGUGUGAACAUAAUUGAGAAUAUUAGUAAGAAAGUGCGUAUAAGAUUGUGUUAGUCUUUUGAAUUUGAUUAGUAUAGUGUGUUUGAGAUGUCAUCUCGAUGACAAAGUUGACUUUGUUGUGAUUAGAAGGGAUAACUGAGCAUAAUGGUAAUAAGAGAUUGUAAUGGACUGAGAUUGGUGUGAACUAUAUGAUAAUGAUAGUUUGUUAAAUGAAUUUUUGUAUAGUAAUGACAACUUGCGAGUAUAUAUUGUUAUGGUUUGCUAUUAUUUGGUGAGUAGUCUGGUUACAAGUAAAGUUAUAGGAGGUGUUGAAACACUGCUUGAAUAGAAUUUAAAGGAGCUAGAGUCUGAAUGAAAAAAAUAAUAAUAAAUAAAUUAGCUGGUAUAGUGUAUCCUUCGGAAAGAGGUGAGAGUAAGAAUAUUUUCUUUGAUUGCAAGGGCUAAAGAGGUAUAUACACAUGGGUUGAGAAUAGGGUUUAGAGAUACAUGAUUUCACCCAUAUUUUUCUUUGAUUAUGGUAAUAUAUAGUGUCACAAGAUCAUCAGAAUGGUUAAAAACUAUUGGAUAAAUCUUGAGAAAGGAGUGAACAAUUGUUCAUCUCGAGUAUGAUAAUUAGUUCUUUUGUGGUUUUGAGUUUGAUAAUGAAUAUGGUAGAAUUUUUAGCGAAAGAUAUGAUAAGGUGGAUGGAGAGGUGAUCAAUGAUAAGCUAAGAUACGUGAAUUCAUAAUGAUGUUCAAUAUAUGAACUAAUGUUGGUAGAUAAUGGAAUCGUGUUACAUGGUUAAAAAUAAAUUAAGUUUUUCAUGGUGAGUUUAUGUUCAUGGUAGAUGUUUUGUCAAGGUAUAAAUUGGUAAAGUAAGGAAUGAUUGAUAACAUUGAGUAUGAAGUAUUUGUAAGUACUUAAAAAUAAUUUAAGUAGGAAAUUUGGUUACUUUUGAUUGUUAUAUCUAAGGGGCGUUUCAUGUAAUGUUUUGGUUUGGAGGAUAAUGUAAAAAUAUAUUGCGUUGUUGGUCAAAGGAUAAGAUUGGUAAGUAACUCAACAAAAGCAACAAGAGUAUGGCGUAUUAAAAGGUUCAAUAUAUUAGGAAUUUUAUGUCAAGGGAAGAAUUUGAGAAAAGUGAAGUAAAAUGACCUCUUGUAUAAGCCAUUGAUUGUAGUUGAAUAUUUUAUUAAUUGUUGUCUAUGAAUAUAGAUAUGAAUGUGAGAAUUAAGAUAUGAACGUGAGAUGUGAAAUAGUUCGGUAUUGACUUGCUAGGGGUUUAUCAUCGAAGUUGUAGAAAGAUUGAGUUUUAAUUGGGUGACAAGUAAUUAGGUGUGAUAGGUUUUUAUAUCUACCUAGAUUGUUCAAAUUAGGAUAGGUAACUUAUGGAUAUUCGGCAGAGUGGACCUACAAUUCUACAUUGUUAAUGAGUAUUUUAAGGGAUUGAAACACUUGAUGGGACGAUAUAAUCAGUUAUGAUGCAUUAUAUAGGUCUUUUAUAGUGAUUAAAGGUUAUGAGCUUAUAGUAUACUGAAUUAUUGGAGUGACCAAGAAUUUCUUAAGUGUUGGCAUGAGGGAUAUGAUGGUUUGAAGGAUGGUUGAGACUUGGAAUGUCAGUGAUACCAUGUUGUUGACCAUAGGUUUGAUUCGUUUAUCAUGUCAGAAUGGAAAGAAAGAGAGCCAUAGUUGAAAAUUUUUAAAGGCUAUAAUGUGUUUGCUAAGAAAAUUUUGAUAGUAGUGACAGCUUGAGAGUAAGGUAAAGGGUCGAUGUGGUUAUGAUGUUUGUUAGUAUAAAGAGUGUUGACUUUAAAGAAGUAUUGUGAGAAGUAUGUUGAAUUUGUUGAAUAAAGUAUUUGUUAAGUUGUAAUGAGUAUUAGACUGGUUGAUUGUGGGUGACUAAAAAUCGAAUGAAGGGAGUCAUAUGAAUGAAAAUGUUUUAAAUGGGACUAUGGAAAAAGUAUCUACUAUUAUUUGACUUUGGUUCUGUAUAUUCUUAUGUGACCAGCUACUUCAUGAUAGAUAUGAUUUGGAGUGUCAUUAGUUGUCUAUGCACAUACAUAUUUUUACUUCUAUGGGUGCAUCCCUAGUGGUGGAUCGGGUGUACCGAUCCUGUGACGUGCUUUUGGUAGGACAAGAUACUUGGACAGAUUUAAUUACUUUAGAUAUGACAUAUUUUGGUGUUUUCUUGGGAUAAUUGAAGUAUACCAGUAGUUCUACACACACAACCUUGCUUAUGAGAAAUUAUAUAAGAGCUAUGAAGAGUUACAAUUGUUUAAAAAGAUUGUUAGAGGUUCUACAUUUUGAAGUGUAUCUCUUGUUGGGUGUUUACAUGAUCAUUUUCUUCUUUGGGUUAGAUAAGUUUGAAUUCACCCUUGAUGAGUAUUUAAUGUCGAAAGAUUGGAUUUUUAUAACUUAAGUUUUUGGAAAUAUAAUGUUGUGAAAGGAAAAUCUUGAUGAUAUUUGUUAUGGUUUGUGCAUUAUAGGUGUGUGGUGGUUGAUUCAAGAUCACAUCUGAUUGUAGUAGGUAUUGUUUCAAAAGGUUAUCUUUGUUAUGUGGAAAAAAAAGAAUUUUUUUUCAUUAAGGUUGUUUAAAAGGUCUGGUGGGUUUUAAUUUAGAUUGGAUUCUUGAGUAAGUUUGUGACUUUAAACUCACUCUUGAUUCAUAGAUCUUCAUAAGUUCAUUCGGAAGCUUAGUUCAUAGUAGUUGAUCUUGAUGUAAUUGUCUUAAAGAACGAACUCACUUGAAGAGAUAAACAGCCGACCGGUGAGUCAUUGCUUAAGCCUUUAGUAUACACCAGUUAUUCAUCUGUUUUUCUUUAUUAUGUUCAAGGACGAACAUGGAUUUUAGUGGUGGAUAAUGUAAUUACCGGGAAAAUCAUUUUUAGAUUUUUUUUACAAAAUUAUCGUUUACCCAUCUCGAUAGUUAUCCCAAGUCACUUUUGAUUAGUUUGUAAAUUUUGUUUGGAAUUCGAAAAUAUUCGAUAACUACGAUUAUUUAGUUGAUGUAUAUUUUAUAAAUAAUUAAUUUAUUUAAUUGAUCUUUAGUGGGUAAAGCCCAUAACACUUAACCCAUAUUAAGCAAUAUAAGUAGUGAGGGUUACUAAUUUUGAAUCAGUAAUAAUGGAAAGAAAAGAGGGUUUGAAGGUUGGGCGCAAGCUGCAAAGGAGAAGGAUCGAUUCAGGAAAUGUCGAAGUUUCCAAGGACCGGGAUUUUUAAGUUACUACAGCAAAUGAGCGAAGGAGACCAUCUUUAAAUGCAUACCUUGCCUUGGAAUAGGUACAAGCACCUUAUUCCUAUUUCGUGUGAGCAUUAUAUUUUUAUGAUAAUUAUUUUCCUUCUUUAUUCUUCUUUACUUUGAAAAGCAUGGAAUGUAUACUCAUUCAUUCAAGGCUUUUUUAUAUACAACAAUAUGUAGUAAGCUUUAUAUUCUUAUGUAGUAUAAAUCGUUAAAAGUAUCUAAAUAUUAAUUUCAUGUUUACAAAA